AUACCUAAUAGUGCCUCUGUCUACAAGGAGCUGCUGGAUGAAUGCAAAUGUGUGUACAAAUUCUGUUUUUUUUUGUUUUGUCUUUUAAUUCCUAGGGUGAGCAGGGACAGGUUUACCUCAAGUUUGCAUGCCUUCAAACAUAGCAUUUUGUUGUUAAUUUUUUCCAGGUCUUACAGAAAAAUAAGUGCACUUAUCUCCACCACCAUGAUACUUAAAUCACAAGUGUUCAAAACAAGACACACAAAAAAUUGUUCUGCUGGAUUAUGUGCAAUAAUAAAACAUUAUUUUGCUCACAUGA